UACAGAGGUCUCAAGCGUUGUUCGGAUUCAUUGGGCGUAAAGGGCGCGUAGGCGGCCCGGUAAGUAGGGGGUGAAAUCCUGCGGCUUAACCGCAGGGCUGCCUUCUAAACUGUCGGGCUCGAGCACGGUAGAGGCAGAUGGAAUUCCCGGUGUAGCGGUGGAAUGCGUAGAGAUCGGGAAGAACAUCAGUGGCGAAGGCGGUCUGCUGGGCCGUUGCUGACGCUGAGGCGCGACAGCGUGGGGAGCAAACAGG
rnacentral:rRNA from 1 species